GAUGAACGCUGGCGGCGUGCCUAAUACAUGCAAGUCGAGCGAACAGACGAGGAGCUUGCUCCUCUGACGUUAGCGGCGGACGGGUGAGUAACACGUGGAUAACCUACCUAUAAGACUGGGAUAACUUCGGGAAACCGGAGCUAAUACCGGAUAAUAUAUUGAACCGCAUGGUUCAAUAGUGAAAGACGGUUUUGCUGUCACUUAUAGAUGGAUCCGCGCCGCAUUAGCUAGUUGGUAAGGUAACGGCUUACCAAGGCAACGAUGCGUAGCCGACCUGAGAGGGUGAUCGGCCACACUGGAACUGAGACACGGUCCAGACUCCUACGGGAGACAGCAGUAGGGAAUCUUCCGCAAAGGGCGAAAGCCUGACGGAGCAACGCCGCGUGAGUGAUGAAGGUCUUCGGAUCGUAAAACUCUGUUAUUAGGGAAGAACAAAUGUGUAAGUAACUAUGCACGUCUUGACGGUACCUAAUCAGAAAGCCACGGCUAACUACGUG
rnacentral:rRNA from 1 species